UGGCAAAACCUCAUCUCUACAAAAAAAUUUAAAAAUUAGCCAGGCAUGGUGGUGCACCAGAGGUCCCAGCUACUUGGGAGGCUGAGGCAGGAGGAUCAGUUGAGCCCAGGGAGGUCAAGGCUCCAGUGAGCCUUGACCUGGGCAACAGAGUGAGACCUUUUCUCAAAAAAAAAAAAACAAAAAAAAACCCCAUAAAGUUUGAAUGUUAUCAGCCCUGGGGAUCCUUCGCACCCAUUUAAGCUCUAUAAUCCUACAAUAAUAAUACAAAGAAUGUCUCACCCAUGUGAGCUACUCUAGAAUUUAGAAGAUCCCUUCAUAAUCAUGAUCUCUUUGAUCCUCAUGAUCUUUGGCCCUGUGAAGUAGUCCAGGCAAAUAUCAUCAGCUCCAUUUUAUAGGUCAGGAAUUUGAG
rnacentral:lncRNA from 1 species